CCAGACUCCUACGGGAGGCAGCAGUGGGGAAUAUUGCACAAUGGGGGAAACCCUGAUGCAGCGACGCCGCGUGAGCGAUGAAGUAUUUCGGUAUGUAAAGCUCUAUCAGCAGGGAAGAAAAUGACGGUACCUGGCUAAGAAGCCCCGGCUGACUACGUGCCAGCAGCCGCGGUAAUACGUAGGGGGCAAGCGUUAUCCGGAUUUACUGGGUGUAAAGGGAGCGUAGACGGCGGUGCAAGCCAGAUGUGAAAGCCCGGGGCUCAACCCCGGGACUGCAUUUGGAACUGUGCUGCUAGAGUGUCGGAGAGGCAGGCGGAAUUCCUAGUGUAGCGGUGAAAUGCGUAGAUAUUAGGAGGAACACCGGUGGCGAAGGCGGCCUGCUGGACUGCGACUGACGUUGAGGCCCGAAAGCGUGGGGAGCAAACAGGAUAAGAUACCCGAGUAA
rnacentral:rRNA from 1 species